UGGUUAUGUUGGUUGCCAUGACUGACAUAUAUUAUUUAUUGUUUGUAAUGUUGAAGGAAUUGUGAUAUGCAGAAAUACACAAACCAAAACCAACCUGCAUUAAUAUAAAAACCAGGGUUAGCACUAACCCACCUUUGAACAACUGGCACAAUGCAAUGAUAGGGCAUGAAUUUAUAACCUAUUAUUUGCACGGUGAGGCUGCGGACCAAAAUGAGAAAAAUAUCGCAGGCUCAGAAAUAGUGGAACAAUCAAUAUUUCUGGUCAAUAUCUAUACUUUUCUUCAAAACCCUGGUAUCUAUAGUAUUUCAAUAUUUGGUAUCGUCCCAUCCCUACUAUCUAGCUUUAAUACUUGAAGAAAGAUUUUUCUUGUGUUCAUUGAUCCAUUCAUACAUUUUACACAUGUUUAAAUUAUGCAGAGGAU
rnacentral:lncRNA from 1 species